rnacentral:rRNA from 1 species
UACGUAGGGACCAAGCGUUGUUCGGAUUUACUGGGCGUAAAGGGCGCGUAGGUGGCGCGGGAAGUCAACGGUGAAAGUUCGGGGCUCAACCCUGAAUCGGCCGUCGAUACUCCCGGGCUCGAGCACUGUAGAGGCAGAUGGAAUUCCGGGUGUAGCGGUGGAAUGCGUAGAGAUCCGGAAGAACACCGGUGGCGAAGGCGGUCUGCUGGGCAGUUGCUGACACUGAUGCGCGACAGCCGGUGGGGAGCAAACAGGG